ensembl:lncRNA
AUUGGCUGGUAGUGCAGGGAGGAGGAGGGGACGGGUGGCUCCAUUUACACAUUAGAGAGCGAGAGAGAAAGAGAGAAAGAAUCUCAUUCAUAAAGAGAAAAAUUCAUUCAUGAAAGCUGCCCUGCCUCACAGAGAGCGAGAGAGAUAGUGAGUUGGUGAGGAGUUUAUUGGAGAGUCUAUCAGAGAGGUGACGAGUAAGAGAGUUUGUAGAUCAUUGUGAUGGAACUCCUCUCUGCGAGGAGUACACUGGACCAGGACAGCUUUUAGACCAAGCCGACUCUCACAACUACCAAACAGGCAUGCUGCAGCGCACCAAGUACAGCCGCCUUCGCAACGAUUCCCUCAGCUCCCUGGACGACCGACUCCAGGACACCAAGGGGGGACCCGCAGGCCCUGGCCGCACCGCUCGCCCCGCUACGCGCCCAGGACGCCCAUGCCCGGGCCCCCAACGGAGAGAGCAGCACCCUGAGGGGCUUCAUCCCCCGCAUGGCCGGCAUCUCGCUGCUGGGUGGCCUGGGGGGCGCUGACCCACAAAUGCGGGCACAGAAACAUAGACAGACGUGCGGAUGAGCGACCCGUCUCGGACGCGGACUGGACGUCGGGCCAAGCGUCCCGUUGCCACGCCGGAGGCACCAAGGGGCCCAUCGCUCUGCAGGGGUGUCCCCUACACCCGCUGCAAGGUGGUUUGUGCCGUUUGAAGAUAGUCCCCCCGGAAGAGGAGGGCCCUGAGAACAGCGUGGUCCAUCAUCAUCAUGUGGAGUACAUGGGUAGCCUGGAAGUAACGCAGUCCAUGAGAACGCUGGACUUUGACACAAGAAUGCAAAUUACACGAGAGGCUAUUAGUCGUCUAUGUGAGGCAUCGGCAGGUGUCAAGUCAGCUAUAAGAAGUAAAAGGGUAAGACACAAGCACACACAUGUACACACACGCACACGUACACACACACACACGCACACGCGCACGCACACGCAAACACUCAUAAUGAACAGUGAUCUUGUGAUUAGUCCCUGCAGUGGUUUUCAAAACUUUUGUUGUGAAUAAAAAUAAUGUAUUGCAUAGCUGUUAUAUAUUUUAGGGAACACUAUAGAGGUGUACAGGCUAACACUAACUGAACACUGUACAUUGUAAAUUAGUAUACACUCAAAAGGCAGCAAGAAAAUGACUUAGUACAUCUGAUAACAGGCUUAUUCAAGGACAUAUGAAUACUGUUUAGUGUGACUUGGUUAUUAUUAAUAUUUAAUCUCAGGUCAGACUUGAGCUGAAUCCACGCUGUGCCUUUUCACCUGUUAAGAACCACGUGUCUGCAGAACAAUCUUGUUUUCAAUUCGCAAUCCAAAAAUCUCUCUCUCUCUCUCUCUCUCUCUCUCUCUCUCUCUCUCUCUCUCUCUCUCUCUCUCUCUCUCUCUCUCUCUCUCUCUCUCUCGUUUAUGUAUGCAGGGGUUCAAAGCACAAUUGAAUGGAUGACAAGGAUUCACUUGAUGGAUCUUACCUGAUAUGUUUUUCUAUCUUUAGUUGCAUUAGUUUUGGAUGUUUUAACUGAAGUAAUCAUCUUUUUGGCGUGUUUUUGUUUUGGGAUCACCAUGAUGUUACCUGGCUUUUAACUACUUUUGUUAACUCUUACAUAUGUAAACAACACUGCUUGAUUCCUAAUAAAAUGCCUCUCUUAAUUGCAUAUUUUAUUGCUUUCUUACUUUAAUGUG